rfam:Bombyx mori DNA, contig: Bm_scaf118_contig38092, strain: p50T/Dazao, build 2, whole genome shotgun sequence.
UUAACUCAAAUUUGUAUGGAAUUGGAUCAUUUGCCUGUGUUGGUCGCUAGGGGUACUGUUCCAACUGCAUACAAAAUUAGUUA